CCUACGGGGGGCAGCAGUGAGGAAUAUUGGUCAAUGGACGAGAGUCUGAACCAGCCAAGUAGCGUGAAGGAUGACUGCCCUAUGGGUUGUAAACUUCUUUUAUAUGGGAAUAAAAUGUUCCACGUGUGGGAUUUUGUAUGUACCAUAUGAAUAAGGAUCGGCUAACUCCGUGCCAGCAGCCGCGGUAAUACGGAGGAUCCGAGCGUUAUCCGGAUUUCUUGGGUUUAAAGGGAGCGUAGGUGGAUUGGUAAGUCAGUUGUGAAAGUUUGCGGCUCAACCGUAAAAUUGCAGUUGAAACUGGCAGUCUUGAGUGCAGGAGAGGUGGGCGGAAUUCGUGGUGUAGCGGUGGAAUGCUUAGAUAUCACGAAGAACUCCGAUUGCGAAGGCAGCUCACUGGACUGCAACUGACACUGAGGCUCGAAAGUGUGGGUAUCAAACAGGAUUAGAUACCCUUGUAGUC
rnacentral:rRNA from 1 species